GCCCUAGUAGCUUAAAUGUUAAAGCACCGGUCUUGUAAUCCGGAAAUUGAAGGUUGAAACCCCUCCUAGUGCC
rnacentral:tRNA from 1 species